AGUGACGAUAGCCUAGGAGAUACACCUGUACCCAUGCCGAACACAGAAGUUAAGCCCCUAGAACGCCGGAAGUAGUUGGGGGUUCACCCAUGUGAGAUAGGGAAGUCGCUUAGCU
rnacentral:rRNA from 1 species